rnacentral:rRNA from 1 species
UACGGGGGGGGCAAGCGUUGUUCGGAAUUACUGGGCGUAAAGGGCUCGUAGGCGGCCAACUAAGUCAGACGUGAAAUCCCUCGGCAUAACCGGGGAACUGCAUCUGAUACUGGAUGGCUUGAGAUUGGGAGAGGGAUGCGGAAUUCCAGGUGUAGCGGUGAAAUGCGUAGAGAUGUGGAGGAACACCGAUGGCGAAGGCAGCCCCCUGGGCCGACCCUGACGCUGAGGCGCGAAGGCUAGGGGAGCGAACGGG